rnacentral:rRNA from 1 species
AUGGGCAGCUUGGGCACCAACGCCACGUCCUUCUCCGCCUUUCCCGACGACAAGGCGGCGUUCGAGCCGCUCAAUCCCGAAGAUGUCCGUGCAUACCUCCACAAGGCCGUCGACUUCAUCUCCGACUACUACACCAACAUCGAGUCCAUGCCUGUUCUUCCUAACGUGAAGCCAGGAUACCUGCAAGAUGAACUCAGCGCGUCCCCACCGACCUACUCUGCGCCAUUCGACGUCACCAUGAAGGAGCUCAGGACCUCUGUCGUCCCUGGCAUGACGCACUGGGCUAGCCCCAACUUCUUCGCCUUCUUCCCCUCCACCAACAGCGCCGCUGCCAUCGCCGGCGACCUCAUCGCAUCAGCCAUGAACACCGUUGGAUUCACGUGGCAGGCCUCACCUGCAGCCACCGAGAUGGAGGUCCUUGCUCUUGACUGGCUUGCGCAGCUCCUGCGCCUACCCACCACCUUCAUGAAUCGCACCAGCACUGGCCGUGGCACCGGCGGUGGCGUCAUCCUCGGCACGACGAGUGAGGCAAUGCUCGUCACGCUAGUCGCCGCCCGUGAUGCAGCGCUGCGCCGAAGCGGCUCGGUCGGCGUGUCUGACAUCCCACGCUUGGCUGUGUACGCUGCAGACCAGACACACUCCACGUUCUUCAAGGCGUGUCGCCUCGCAGGCUUCGACCCCGCCAACAUCCGCUCCAUCCCUACCGGGCCGGAAACCAAUUAUGGGCUCGACCCGACAAAGCUUCUCGAGGUCAUGCAAGCCGAUGUCGACGCUGGUCUUGUGCCAACAUAUGUGUGCGCGACUGUGGGCACCACGUCUUCAAACGCCGUUGACCCGGUGGGCGACGUUGCCGACGUUGCCGCCAUGUUCAAUGCAUGGGUCCACGUCGAUGCUGCCUACGCUGGCAGCGCAUGUAUCUGCCCGGAGUUUCACCACCAUCUCGAUGGCGUCGAGCGUGUGGACUCCAUUAGCAUGAGCCCACACAAAUGGCUUCUCACAUGCCUUGACUGCACAUGUCUCUACGUCCGUGAUGCUCACCGACUGAGCGACUCACUGGAGACUAAUCCGGAGUACCUCAAGAACGAUGCUACCGAGUCCGGCGAGGUCACCGAUCUUAAGGACAUGCAGGUCGGCGUCGGUCGGCGCUUCCGUGGGCUCAAGCUUUGGAUGGUCAUGCGCACCUAUGGUACCGCGAAGCUCCAAGAGCACAUCCGUAGUGAUGUUGCCAUGGCCAAGAUGUUCGAAGAUUUCGUCCGUUCCGAUGACAGGUUUGAGGUGGUCGUACCGAGGAACUUUGCUCUUGUGUGCUUUCGGAUCAAGGCAAGUGGAGCCAUGACGGAGAAGGAUGCUGACGAGACCAACCGCGUGCUAAUGGAGAAUCUGAACAAAACUGGAAAGGCUUAUCUUGCACACACGGUGGUCGGUGACAAGUUCGUGCUGCGGUUCGCCGUUGGGUCGUCGUUGCAGGAGGAGAGGCAUGUGAGAAGUGCUUGGGAUCUCAUCAAGAAGACUACGAGCAGUAUCAUGGAUUAA